rnacentral:lncRNA from 1 species
GACAUGAGGGAAAGCUUAUCCCUUUUGGUGUUGGGACAAUUUCAACUUUGAAGACUUGGUUUGGUUUUUAUUGGAUGUAAGGCUAUUGGAUUUGAUAGUUUUGCUUUGGUAUUUGAUGGAAAUGUUACCGGAUGUUAUGGUUUUUGUUGGAAACAAUUUUGGAUUUGAAGGUUUUGGUUUGAUUUUUGGAGCUAGGAUUGAUUAGUGUUGGUGUUGAUUGUUUUCUUUUACAGGGGCUUCUCUUGCUCUUCUUUUACAGUCUCCAAAACUUUUCUACUACUAUCUCUACUACUAGAUGAAGAAAUAAAUUAUGAAUAUGAAUGUUAUUUUAGAGUUUUGGGUUUAUCAUAUGUAUGGUUUUGUGUUUACUUUGAUUGGCUGUCUAAGGAACAAGAAUAACAUGUAAAAAACUCAAUGUUCUCUACUGUUUUGUUUUGGAUUUGUUAUGCUUUACCCAUUAGUAAUAGGUUGGUGGAAAUAAGGUCAAGGUUUCUCUUAUUAGAAUUAUCAUAACCAUUUCAAGUAUGUUCUUUUUUAGUGUUGAAGUUUGGUAUGCUAGGUGCUUCUUAAUUAAAUCUUGGGUUUUAUUGUGCCUUAUCUAUUAAUGGUAGGUUGAUGAAAUACGUUGGGGUUUAUUUCAUAGAGAAUUCGCAUUGACAGGGGCAGUAUAAGACAACAUAUAAAAAUACUAAUCAAUUAUACAUUAUAUAGGAUGAGAGAGCAGUACCAGUUAGAGCUAGAAUUGAGAUUUAUGCGAGUUUAUGAUGCAGAAUGAGCUUCCUUUCUCUCCUUGUAUUUUUUCUUUCAUGUUUAAUAGUGGUUGCUUUUUUAAUACUUACUACUGAUGCUCCUCCCUGGGUUGAUAUGGUGUAUCUGAUUACUUUUUGUAUGGUGUCCUGUUGUUAUGUAUUCUCUGACUAUUGUAUUUUUUGUGUGUAAGUAUGAUAUGUUAUUCACUAAUUGAUGCCUAUCUGCUAUGUUUGGUAAAUUCUCUGCUAUGUAUGUUAUGUUCUUUUACAUGUGUGUAUGUUCUCCCCCUUUAUAGAUGGUUAUGGGUCAUUUUUUUGGUUUGUGAAAACCUUCUGGCUUGCCAAAAAUAUGUAAUAUGCCAUGACCCUUUUGAUCUUCUGAUUUAAUGCAUUAAGGCUGCUAAUGAAUACUACCAUUCAUGUUGAUAAAUGUAUAACUGAAAACAGAAAAUGCCAACAUGUAAUGACUUCUGGUUUGCAUUUGUUCAGUGCCAUCUCAUAUUCUAACUCUAGGUGGAUUGGUCUUUUUUCUUGGAAUUUAUCAUAUGUCUGAUCCGAUUGUAACAUCUUCGAUACUUAUAUUCCUAUUAAUAUCUAAUUAUGUCUAUUAUCACUUUUAAUUGCAACAAAUAUUAUUAUAAAGCUUUAGUUACUAAUCAGUGAGAAUUUUGCAGGUACCGGUAACUCUCUCCCUUCCAAUCCUUAGGAUCAGGAACAAACUCUUUCAUUUCAGUAAGUGUAUAGUAAUGCUCAUAGAGGACUCAUUGUUUUUUCUAGUGGUUCAACCUCUGACUUCAAAGUGAAGACUCAAAGUUUAUGGAAAUACCUAUUGUUGAAGAAUUAACAUAAUGGGAAUUUGUGUUUGAACAGAGGAAUGGUAUGAGGAAUCAGAAGCUAUGGCAUGGUAUCAAUGACUAAAGAAAUACUGACUUUAGGAAUAUGGGUUUGAAUGUAAUGGUGCAAUUGUAUUUUUAGGGAGAAA